GACAAGUAUAUAAAGAAACUAUUAUGGAUGGUUAGCUAUAUAUUUCAAGAUAUUUAUAUCUAGGCAACAAUAUAAACUAGAAAUCAUAGAGAAAUCUAAUUAUAAGACAAAGUGAAUUGAAAUAUCUUAGUAACUUUAGUAAAAGAAAUCAAACGAGAUUGUUAUUAGGUGUCUUCUUAAUAGCAAAAGCCUUAAUAAAUAAUUACUAUAUUUACCAAAUAUAGGUUAUAAUUGUUUAUAGUAAAUAUAUUAUAAAAUAUAUUUAAGUAUAACGGAAAAAAAUCUGUUGAAAAAUAGGGGAACCUUCCUCUAAGGCUAAAAAAAAUAUAUAAGCGAUAGAGUAACAGUACCGUGAGGGAAAUACCCUGAAAUAGUAGUUUUAUAAGCAGCUCAAGUUAAAAUUUAAAUAAAUAAUAAGAGCGUACCUUUUGCAUAAUGGGUCAGCAAGUUAAUUUUAGAUGCAAGUAACAUCUCUUUUAUAAGCAUUUACAUCUAGAACAUUAGACAUAAUGUCUAAUGAUAAUAUUGGUAUGUAAAUUUAUUAAUAAAAUUAGGAGGUAGAUACGUAGAUAAACCAAUUAUGAAAAAAUGAAUUAGUAUCUAGAAUUAGACCCGAAGGCUAGUGAUCUUACCAUGGUCAGGGUUAUAAAAGCCCGAACGGGUUAUCGUUGUAAAGAUAUCCGAUGAACUGUGGUAAGUUAGUGAAAGACAAAACUGACUAGUAUAGCUGGUUUUCCGCGAAACCUAUGUAAGUAGGUAAUUUAAUUAACAUCUUAGCAGGUACAGAACUGUGAUCUCGGACAAUAUCUAAGAUAUUUGUCAACAUCGGGGGGUUGUAGUGACUUUACCGGAGAGUAUUUGCACUCGGAAGGGCAAAGAUGAAUGUUAAAUAAUCGGACAUAGUGCGAUAAGGUUGUAUGUCUAAAGGGAAACAGCCCAGAACAAGAGUUAAGGUUCCAAAAUUAUUGUUAAGUGAAAUUAAGGAUGUUUUUUUUUAAAACAAUCAGGAAAUAGGCUUAGAAGCGGCCAUUUUUUGAAGACCUCGUAACAGAGCACUGAUUAAUAAAUUAGGUAAAAACGCCGAAAAUUUAACGGAUCUAAAUAAUAUACCGAAACCUUGUACACAAAUUAAAAUUAAAGUGCUGUGGCUUAGAUUAGAUCUUAAAUCUAAAUUAAAGCGCUGUGACUUAGGAUUUUUGUGGGGUAGCGGAACAUUGGAUUAAACAAAAUAUUAAUAUUUUUCUUAAAAUAUUAAAGAUCUUGCAUAAAGCUAUCUAAACUAAAUAUAUGAUUUAUUAUAUAUUGUGAUUGAUUAUUUAUUUAACUAUACUACAAUAUAAUAUAACUAAUUGAUUAUUUAUUUAACGAUAUAUUUUUAAAUUAGUUAUUUAGUGUGGGUUAUAUAGUAAAAUAAAAAAAGUUAGUAGUAGUAAAUAUAGUAGUUUAAAUGCUAUAUUACGAUUUAUGUGUAUCUGUUAAAUCCAAGAGAGAAUGCUGACAUGAGUAACGAAAAAGGCUUUUAGCCUCGCCUGAAGCUUAUGGUUUCAUCUAAAAUCGGUGUCUAAAAAAAUUAAUCAAAUGAUAAUUUUGAUGACGUUUUAUGCUUUUUUAUAUGAUAAUACCAAAACCUUUAACAAGUAAUAAAGGUUCUGGAAAAGUUUAUUUUAUUAUUUGAAGUGGAAAAUAUUUAAUACUCAUACUUAUUGGUAUAAAAUUGUAAAUUAUAAUAUAUAAUACAUACUUAUUAUAAUAUUAUGAUUUAUAAAUAUAAUAGAGUGAGUCAAAUAAUAAAUAUUUUAGAACCAAGUAAUAGUCUUUAUCUAUUAUAAUGAUAUUAUAGAUAAUAAUUAAUAAUUAAUUACCAUUAGAUUAUUAAUAUGUAUUUAUAGAUUAUAUAAUGAUUAUUAUAUAAAAUAUAUCUAUUAAAUGUUAUUAUUAAUAAUACUAUAAUAUAUAGAUUAAAGACAACUUUAUACUGGUAAAAAAAAUAAAAGAAAAAAACAAUUAAUAACCGUACCUAGAAACUAACUCAAGUAAGCAAGUAGAGAAUACAAAGGCGUUUGAGAGAACAAUCAUUAAGGAACUCGGCAAAUUGACUCUGUACCUUUGGAAUAAGGAGGACCAUUAUUAUUAAAUUUAACAUAUAGUAAAGUAUGAAAUUAAAUAUGAAAAAUUAAAUUAAUAAUAAGAGGAAUCAUGAAAUAAUGUUGUACGACUGUUUAAUAAAAACACAGCACUCUGCAAAGAUAAAAAAUCAAAGUAUUGAGUGUGAUGUCUGCCCAAUGUCGGCUGGGUAACGGAUCUACCUUGAUUAUUAACUGAGGUUUUGAAGGACACCCCGAUUAAUGGCGGCCUUACCUAUGAGGGUCCUAAGGUAGCGAAAUACCUUGGCCGUUAAAUGCGGUCCUGCAUGAAUGACUUAACGAUGCAACAGCUGUCUCGAUGAUUGUCUCAGUGAAAUUGGAAUAGCAGUGCAGAUACUGUUUACCUCUAGAUAGACGAGAAGACCCUAUGCAGCUUUACUGUUACUAAUUAUAGGAGUGAAAUUUUAGGAUGAUUUAUAGUGUAUAAGGUAGUUGUUUAGAUAAUAAUGAAACACCUUUAUUCGAAUCCUUAUAUAUACUCUUAAUGAUUAGAAGGCAGUUUAUGCGGGGCACAGAUCCCACAAAAAGUACCUGGGUAUAUCCAAAGUUCAUAUUGUAAACUUGUAUAUUUAUAUACAAAUAUUUUAAUUUGUUCUAAUUAUUAUUAUAAUUAUACAGUUAUUAUUCGAUUAAAUUCCACAAUUAUUUUUUAUUUUAAGUAAGAUUUUAACUAUGCGGUGAAUAGAUGUAUUUUAAACUUUACUGGACUUUGUUCUAAUUUUAGUUCAAAGAUUUAAAAGUUUAUUUGUUAUAUUAAUAAAGUAUUUGUCUUUAUUAAUAUAAUGUUUAACUAUACUUUAAAAGUUUAAUGGCUAAAUCUUGCUUUACUGUUUGACCUACAAGUCUAUCAGUCGCGUAAGCGGGGCAUAUGAUCACAAGAUGCAUUAAGGAAAGGUCUUGGAUUAUAGAAAAAGUUACGCUAGGGAUUUAUAACUGUGAGUCCUCCAAUAUUAUAAAAUAUUGGUAAU
rnacentral:rRNA from 1 species